UACAGAGGUGCCAAGCGUUAGGCGGAAUCACUGGGCUUAAAGCGUGUGUAGGCGGAUGUCUAAGUACCUUGUGAAAUCCCACGGCUCAACCGUGGAACUGCUUGGUAUACUGGACGUCUUGAGCCAGCUAGGGGCUACCGGAACAAAUGGUGGAGCGGUGAAAUGCGUAGAUAUCAUUUGGAACGCCAAUGGUGAAAACAGGUAGCUGGGGCUGUGCUGACGCUGAGACACGAAAGCCAGGGGAGCGAACGGG
rnacentral:rRNA from 1 species